rnacentral:rRNA from 1 species
CCUACGGGUGGCUGCAGUGAGGAAUAUUGGUCAAUGGACGAGAGUCUGAACCAGCCAAGUAGCGUGAAGGAUGACUGCCCUAUGGGUUGUAAACUUCUUUUAUAUGGGAAUAAAAUGUUCCACGUGUGGGAUUUUGUAUGUACCAUAUGAAUAAGGAUCGGCUAACUCCGUGCCAGCAGCCGCGGUAAUACGGAGGAUCCGAGCGUUAUCCGGAUUUAUUGGGUUUAAAGGGAUCGUAGGUGGAUUGUUAAGUCAAUUGUGAAAGUUUGCGGCUCAACCGUAAAAUUGCAGUUGAAACUGGCAGUCUUGAGUACAGUAGAGGUGGGCGGAAUUCGUGGUGUAGCGGUGAAAUGCUUAGAUAUCACGAAGAACUCCGAUUGCGAAGGCAGUUCACUGGACUGCAACUGACACUGAGGCUCGAAAGUGUGGGUAUCAAACAGGAUUAGAUACCCGAGUAGUC